AAGGACGUACGUCGUAAGACAGAGGCCCGGUAGUCGAGUCACCGUACGGGAGGGGGAACCGGUCACAUGGUGUCUCUAUUCCGGUCUUUACAGCUCACUUGCCCAAUUCUGCCGUCUGUCGAGACGAUGAACGGAUGUUACUCACCGAAGUUGUACUCCAUACGAGUGCUCGUCAAGGUAUGAACAAGUUGUACCAAUUUCCGUCCAGCAAAACUUCAAAAUACGCAACACCACACAGGACCACGAGUUGCAUUUAAUAUGCACAACACCAAGACACACAGGUAGCGAGUACGAGUAUGAGUACGAAAACACGACAGAGGAGAGACAAGAUCGGUACCCUGUGAAUAGCUCUACGUGAUACCAUAAUAUAAUUCAUGAGAUACAGAUGGAAGACUGCAACUCGCUGUUGCUGCGCCUCCACUGUAAUCCAUGCCUACACAGGGUCAUUAUACUACAUACUGUACAAGUAUGAUAGCUACUUCACAGGCUUUUGGUGACAUAAUUC
rnacentral:misc_RNA from 1 species